rnacentral:rRNA from 1 species
GGUCACCGCAAGGGAAGCUGGCGACCGAAGCCCCGAUAAACGGCGGCCGUAACUAUGACGGUCCUAAGGUAGCGAAAUUCCUUGUCGGGUAAGUUCCGACCCGCACGAAAGGCGUAAUGAUUUGGAUACUGUCUCGGAGAGGGGCUCGGUGAAAUAGACUUGUCUGUGAAGAUGCGGACUACCUGCACCUGGACAGAAAGACCCUAUGAAGCUUUACUGUAACUUGAAAUUGAAAUUGGACUUUAGUCGCGCAGCAUAGGUGGGAAGCGUUGAGCAUAUUCUUGCGGGAAUAUAGGAGCUAUCAGUGAGAUACCACUCUUCUAAUGUUAGAUUUCUAACUUUGAACCAUUAUCUGGUCAAAGAACAGUUUCAGGCGGGCAGUUUGACUGGGGCGGUCGCCUCC